UACAGAGGUCUCAAGCGUUGUUCGGAAUCACUGGGCGUAAAGGGUGCGUAGGUGGCGCUGUAAGUCGGGUGUGAAAUUUCGGAGCUUAACUCCGAAACUGCAUUCGAUACUGCGGUGCUUGAGGACUGGAGAGGAGACUGGAAUUCAUGGUGUAGCAGUGAAAUGCGUAGAGAUCAUGAGGAAGACCAGUGGCGAAGGCGGGUCUCUGGACAGUUCCUGACACUGAGGCACGAAGGCCAGGGGAGCAAACGGG
rnacentral:rRNA from 1 species